CCUACGGGAGGCAGCAGUGGGGAAUAUUGGGCAAUGGAGGCAACUCUGACCCAGCAACGCCGCGUGAGUGAUGAAGGUCUUCUGAUUGUAAAACUUUUUAAGUGGGGACGAAGAAAGUGACUGUACUCACAGAAUAAGCCUCGCCUAAGUACGUGCCAGCAGCCGCGGUAAUACGGAGGAGGCAAGCGUUAUUCGGAAUGACUGGGCGUAAAGGGUGCGUAGGUGGUUUGACAAGGUAGUAGGGUAAUUCCGGGGCUCAACCUCGGAACUACUACUAAAACUGGUGGGCGUGAGUGCAGGAGAGGUGAAUGGAAUUCGUGGUGUAGCGGUGGAAUGCGUAGAUAUUAGGAAGAACACCAGCGGCGAAAGCGAUUCACUGGACUGUAACUGACACUGAGGCACGAAAGCGUGGGGAGCAAACAGGAUUAGAUAUCCCUGUAGUC
rnacentral:rRNA from 1 species